rnacentral:sRNA from 1 species
GCCUGGCGUGGUGGUGCAAGUCUGUAAUCCCAGAGACUCGGGAGGCUGAGGCAGGAGGAUCACAAGUUGAGAGCCAGCCUCAGCGACUUAGCGAGGCCCUAAGCAAUAUAGCAAGACCCUGUCUCUA